rnacentral:rRNA from 1 species
CGUUUAGGGGUAAACCYGAGAAACCCGAAAGAUCGAAGGGAGAAAUUCAUUCGCGUUUCAUGAUAAGCUAUAAGUAUUGUUGUGUGACGAAUCGAUUUUCGGAUCGGUUUGCGCCCUUUAUUUAUUGAACUUGUUGUGAACGUGUGCACUUUUCUCCUGGUAGGACAUCGCGAUCUGUUGAGUGUCGGUCUACGACUAAUGGUGGAGAUCAUUUGUCAUUUUCACGAAUGAACCUGUUUGUUCUGGCUGACUUGCUCGACAGUAUAAUGAUGGUUAAGGGUCGCUGUGUAAAGCGUUCGACUUGUUGCAAGCGCGCAAUUUGUAUUGGCGAUCGGACCUAGUGCCKAUUCUGAUCUUUUGCGACUGUUGGCUUCAAUGCUCUCGAACAGACCAUAAAAACCGAUCAGCGAUGCUAUAGCUUUGGGUAAUUUCAGGACCCGUCUUGAAACACGGACCAAGGAGUCUAGCAUGUACGCGAGUCAUUGGGUAUCACUAAACCUAAAGGCGUAAUGAAAGUAAAAAUCUUUCUUGCAAAGAUUUAGGGAAGAUGAAUGGUGUCUGCUUGUUUAAUGGCGGCCGUUCAGCAUUCCCGGGGCGUUUCAUUCUCAUUGCKAGGAGAGGCGCACCAUGAGCGUACACGCUGGGACCCGAAAGAUGGUGAACUAUGCCUGGUCAGGACGAAGUCAGGGGAAACCCUGAUGGAGGUCCGUAGCGAUUCUGACGUGCAAAUCGAUCGUCGGAACUGGGUAUAGGGGCGAAAGACUAAUCAAACCAUC